rnacentral:piRNA from 1 species
UGAGUCCAAAACAGCACGUCUGCAACC